rnacentral:pre_miRNA from 1 species
UGUGUUCUAUCCUUCAUUCCACCGGAGUCUGUAUGUGUAUUUAACCAGAUUUCAGUGGUGUGAAGUGUAAGAGACAUGG